rnacentral:lncRNA from 1 species
AAUUCCAUCAUGGAGGAGCUUAGGAAACGUGCAGAUGCUGACAGGAAUGAUAAAUCUGUGAAGGAUCUUGUUCUCUUGCUGUUUGAGACUGCCCUUCUAACAUCUGGAUUCAGCCUUGAUGAGCCAAACACUUUUGGCAACAGGAUUCACAGGAUGCUCAAGCUUGGACUUAGUAUUGAUGAUGAUGCUGUUGAAGCUGAUGCUGACAUGCCACCAUUGGAGGAAGCUGAUGCCGAUGCAGAGGGUAGCAAGAUGGAAGAGGUCGAUUAAGUCUGACGUAGUAGCUAGUUUUAGAAAGGCCUGGGUCGAUGUCUUCUAUGAUGUUUUUGUUUUUAGUUUUUAAUUUUUGAAUGUUAACAAUACUAGGUGCAGUUUAAUGGCUUAUUAUUUUUCGUUAGUUUUUGGUGUCAAUUGUUGACGUGCGUUCUUUUUUGUUUUCUUACGACAAAAUUGGUGCUAUCUUUGCCUCUCAUUUAUUAUAUUUUGAAAUAUUUUUAGAUAGAAACAUUUUAU